CUUCGCCAAGAACGCUCAUCCAGUUUCACUGCUUCUACUCAACUUGUCCUGCUUCACUGACUACUUAGACAACUUCUGUGAUCGCUUCCGUCCGCUGUGACACACCUGUAGUCACUCACCUAGGAAUUAUGCAAAGAUUUGAGGCAAGAUCCAGCCAUCGUAACAACAUGAAGUGCUGAUUGUGCUGAUUUGGUCAUCAGUCUGUCUGUCUCACCUGCCAUCACCAAAUAUCUCAGCAUCGAUCACCACUUAGUGUCACAGCAUUCCAUUGCAAAAACUACCUUUCUUUCAAAAUGUCCUCGUGUAUGCCCA